GGACUACCCGGGUUUCUAAUCCUGUUUGCUCCCCACGCUUUCGCUCCUCAGCGUCAGAACAGGCCCAGAGAACCGCCUUCGCCACCGGUGUUCCUCCCGAUAUCUGCGCAUUUCACCGCUACACCGGGAAUUCCGUUCUCCCCUGCCUGCCUCCAGCCCGCCCGUAUCCACUGCACGCCCGGGGUUAAGCCCCGGGAUUUCACAGCGGACGCAACAGGCCGCCUACGAGCUCUUUACGCCCAAUAAAUCCGGACAACGCUCGCGCCCUACGUAUUACCGCGGCUGCUGGCAC
rnacentral:rRNA from 1 species